rnacentral:rRNA from 1 species
CGACCGGCGCACGGGUGAGUAACACGUAUCCAACCUUCCCAUUACUCGGGGAUAGCCUUUCGAAAGAAAGAUUAAUACCCGAUAGUACUUAAUUAUGGCAUCAUGAUUAAGUUAAAGAUUUAUUGGUAAUGGAUGGGGAUGCGUUCCAUUAGAUUGUUGGUGAGGUAACGGCUCACCAAGUCUUCGAUGGAUAGGGGUUCUGAGAGGAAGGUCCCCCACAUUGGUACUGAGACACGGACCAAACUCCUACGGGAGGCAGCAGUGAGGAAUAUUGGUCAAUGGGCGAGAGCCUGAACCAGCCAAG